AUAACUCCAAUAUAUGAAAUCCACGGAACAGCUCAGCAAGAAGAACUUGGAAAGAUUUCUGUAAAAUAUACGGACUAACAGAUGUCUUGAGGAAAGAAAAGAAGUUGAAGGACAUACCACAGAAAUUUUAGAUAAACUCAGAAUCACUCAGGAAAAUCAAAGGAAGUUAUGGGAACUGAUACAGAAAUUCUUGUUACCUGAAGAUGAAGACAGAGUUUCUGAAAAUCCAGAAGAGUAAUGAAGUAAAGGAAGAUAAAUACUCUCCCCUUCAAAAGGACUCUUAACAUCCUGAAGUUGUUCAA
rnacentral:lncRNA from 1 species